CAGCCACAUCACGUUGAAACACCGGUUCCUGUACGAUCACAGAAGUUAAGCAACCACGAGUCUGGUUAGUACCUAGAUGGGUGACCGCUUGGGAAUAUCAGGUGCU